rnacentral:rRNA from 1 species
GACGAACGCUGGCGGCGUGCUUAACACAUGCAAGUCGAACGGAAAGGCCCUGCUUUUGUGGGGUGCUCGAGUGGCGAACGGGUGAGUAACACGUGAGUAACCUGCCCUUGACUUUGGGAUAACUUCAGGAAACUGGGGCUAAUACCGGAUAGGAGCUCCUGCUGCAUGGUGGGGGUUGGAAAGUUUCGGCGGUUGGGGAUGGACUCGCGGCUUAUCAGCUUGUUGGUGGGGUAGUGGCUUACCAAGGCUUUGACGGGUAGCCGGCCUGAGAGGGUGACCGGCCACAUUGGGACUGAGAUACGGCCCAGACUCCUACGGGAGGCAGCAGUGGGAAAUAUUGCACAAUGGGCAGAAGCCUGAUGCAGCAACGCCGCGUGCGGGAUGACGGCCUUCGGGUUGUAAACCGCUUUCGCCUGUGACGAAGCGUGAGUGACGGUAAUGGGUAAAGAAGCACCGGCUAACUACGUG